AUGACAUUAAUGUACGCCAAUUAUGCACUAUCUACAAAUAUUUAUACAGCCCAGACAGUUUACUUAAACCCUUCAAUUGACUCUUCCAGGUUAAUUCUGAAAUCCACCGAAAUAACACAAGACCUCAUAUUGCCAGGUCGCUGUCAGACAUGGAGGUACCAUACCCUGGAAUUCUUAUCUUCACAUUGCCAGGUCACUGUCAGACAUGGAGGUACCAUACCCUGGAAUUCUUAUCUUCACAUUGCCAGGUCACUGUCAGACAUGGAGGUACCAUACCCUGGAAUUCUUAUCUUCACAUUGCCAGGUCACUGUCAGACAUGGAGGUACCAUACCCUGGAAUUCUUAUCUUCACAUUGUCAGGUCGCUGUCAGACAUGGAGGUACCAUACCCUGGAAUUCUUAUCUUCACAUUGCCAGGUCACUGUCAGACAUGGAGGUACCAUACCCUGGAAUUCUUAUCUUCACAUUGCCAGGUCGCUGUCAGACAUGGAGGUACCAUACCCUGGAAUUCUUAUCUUCACAUUGCCAGGUCACUGUCAGACAUGGAGGUACCAUACCCUGGAAUUCUUAUCUUCACAUUGCCAAGUCACUGUCAGACAUGGAGGUACCAUACCCUGGAAUUCUUAUCUUCACAUUGCCAGGUCGCUGUCAGACAUGGAGGUACCAUACCCUGGAAUUCUUAUCUUCACAUUGCCAGGUCGCUGUCAGACAUGGAGGUACCAUACCCUGGAAUUCUUAUCUUCACAUUGCCAGGUCGCUGUCAGACAUGGAGGUACCAUACCCUGGAAUUCUUAUCUUCACAUUGCCAGGUCACUGUCAGACAUGGAGGUACCAUACCCUGGAAUUCUUAUCUUCACAUUGCCAAGUCACUGUCAGACAUGGAGGUACCAUACCCUGGAAUUCUUAUCUUCACAUUGCCAGGUCGCUGUCAGACAUGGAGGUACCAUACCCUGGAAUUCUUAUCUUCACAUUGCCAGGUCGCUGUCAGACAUGGAGGUACCAUACCCUGGAAUUCUUAUCUUCACAUUGCCAGGUCGCUGUCAGACAUGGAGGUACCAUACCCUGGAAUUCUUAUCUUCACAUUGCCAGGUCACUGUCAGACAUGGAGGUACCAUACCCUGGAAUUCUUAUCUUCACAUUGCCAAGUCACUGUCAGACAUGGAGGUACCAUACCCUGGAAUUCUUAUCUUCACAUUGCCAGGUCGCUGUCAGACAUGGAGGUACCAUACCCUGGAAUUCUUAUCUUCACAUUGCCAGGUCGCUGUCAGACAUGGAGGUACCAUACCCUGGAAUUCUUAUCUUCACAUUGCCAGGUCGCUGUCAGACAUGGAGGUACCAUACCCUGGAAUUCUUAUCUUCACAUUGCCAGGUCGCUGUCAGACAUGGAGGUACCAUACCCUGGAAUUCUUAUCUUCACAUUGCCAGGUCACUGUCAGACAUGGAGGUACCAUACCCUGGAAUUCUUAUCUUCACAUUGCCAGGUCAUUUAUAA
rnacentral:lncRNA from 1 species